rnacentral:miRNA from 10 species
CCCAGUUCAAUUUGAAUUUUAGAUAAACAAAGAAUAACUUUGUAGUAUUAGUUUGCCCCAUGCAAUAUUUGGGACAUACUUACACUAAAAUGUUAUUUUUGAAAUCUGAAAUUCACAUUGAA